CCUACGGGCGGCAGCAGUGGGGAAUAUUGCGCAAUGGACGAAAGUCUGACGCAGCGACGCCGCGUGAGGGAUGAAGGUUUUCGGAUCGUAAACCUCUGUCAGGAGGGAAGAAAGCGCAUGGCGCCAAUCAGCCAUGCGUUGACGGUACCUCCAAAGGAAGCGCCGGCUAACUCGGAGCCAGCAGCCGCGGUAAUACGGAGGUCGCGAGCGUUAAUCGGAAUUACUGGGCGUAACGCGUGCGUAGGCGGUUGUGUAAGGCGGGUGUGAAAGCCGCCGGCUCAACCGGGGGACGGACCAUGAUAGUGCGAGACUAGAGUAAUGGAGGGGUAACCGAAAUGCUCGGGGUAGAAGGGAAAGGCGUAGAGAUCGAGCGGAACACGCGUGGCGAAGGCGGGGUCCUGGACAUUAACUGACGCUGAGGCACGAAGGCCAGGGGAGCGAAAGGGAUGAGAUACCCGUGGAGUC
rnacentral:rRNA from 1 species